ensembl:lncRNA
AUUCAAACAAAGUAACUGUUGGCUUAUUUAUCGGUGGAGCAGCAGAACACUUUCCACAGACAGUUUUCCUGCCCGUUGGCUUGUUUUAACCAGUUUUCUACCUUCAGCUGAUUCUACCAGACACUGAAAGGACUCUGAUAGUUCGAGUGAAAGUAGCAGUUCCUCCUGAAGGUCAGAGAUUGCAGCAUCUGAGGGCCUCUUCAAAAGAAGACGUAGUUGAUGAAGGCGUUCUGGAGCAGGACCAGAAAGACCACGACCAAACAGCCAUGAGAUCUUAGGCAGCAUCUCCCUCAGAUUCUUAUAUGUUGCACACACAUCCACCAACCACUGGAACACAUCUCCAAAGUUCUGCUGGUCCAGCUCAGCUUCCCCUCAGAAGAAGUGCUGCCACCUGCCAGAUGAAGGAGCCUUUCGAGAGGCAGCUGGCAUCGUGAUUGGACUGUACUUUGGUCUGUUCCAAUCCAGCUUCAGCUCCAGAGACGGCAGGCGGGACGAGUCAACGGAGGCCUGGUGGACGAAGACAUGCAGCUGAGUACAAUC